CAUACUCGAAUCUGGUUCUAAGCGGCUGCUGUUAGAGAGAGAAACUCGGCAAAUGUAGAGAGAGAGGAUGGGGACGAGGACCAAUUUCUACAAGAAUCCUUCUUUCGCUUACAACGGAGACUUCAAUCUCUCCUCCGCUCUUCGGAACCUCAAAGCUUACAACAUCGUGACCGGAAGCGCCUCCUUGACCGAUGGAGAAUCUCCAAACGACGAGAAUGCCGAGUGCCGCCGCCGCCGCCGCCGCCGCCGCCGCCGGGACUCUGAAGCGCCGCGUGGCGGGAGCGGCGUCGCCGUGGAGGACGAUCGGCCGAUGUCGCAUGAGGAAUACGUCCAAAAGAGCAGGCAAUUGUGGACUUUGUAGUAUCUCUGUUCUUACGGUGUCGAGUUGAUUGAGCAGGAGAGCACGGGUCAGGUUUAUCAGGAAUUGACUCCCGAUGUUCUGGGGGCUUCGAGUUCGGGUUUGAACUUAGUUGACUACGCAAGUAAUUCCUGUUUGGGAUUUGUGGUUGAUAGGGAUAAACAUGUCUCCAAAGCAUUUAGAUGUCAUUGCUCGUGCAAUUUAGAUGUUAAUCUUGUAUUGUUGCCAUUCUUGCAGGCGAUGGAAGCACUUCUGAAAGGGAUGAAGAGAAGGAGACUGAAAUUUGUGGUAAUAUUGUUGAAGGUGACCAAACCAAUGGAAAAGCAAUCUAGGUAAAGAUUAGAAGUGAGCAAAGAUUUCCCCUGCCCGGAGAACCGGUUUGCCUGGUGUGUGGUGAAAAUGGAGAAUAUAUUUGCGAUGAGCUUGGAGUGCAAAGCAGUGCUUUUACAGACUCUUAAAUUUAAAGAGGAUCCCUUGAGCAACCAAAGUCCGGUCACAGCUUCAGCUGAGUUUGUUUCUGGAUCAUCUGUGCCUGAAGAAGAAAAUGAUGCUUGGGAUUAUGUUCGGCACUGGUGGUCCAAUAGGAAAUCCAGUCUCUCCACUUAUCUAUGUGCUAGCUGUCAGAGGCCUGGGCACCUUGCUGAAGAUUGCUUGGUUGCAGCUGGACAAAACAAAUCAACUUCCAUACCCAAAGAUCUUCUGGGACUUUAUAGAAGAUGCGAGCAGAUAGGGAAAAGCUCGUCUGCAGCAAGCUGCAAUGAAUGUCAAUCCACGUAUAGUUUGGUGACUUGCCUUGAUUGUAAUAGAGUAAUAUGUGAUGGUGCAGGUCAUUUGGAUGAGCACGUUAGAAUGAAUUCCUCUCACUGACGAUAUUAUUCUCACAAGCUCAAGCAUUUGGUGAAAUGCAGUAAAGCAACAUGCAAAGUGACAGAUAUAUCUGAUCUUUUGGGUUGCCAUUACUGUUUUGACAAAGCAUUUGACAAAUUCUAUGAUAUGUGUACUGCAAGUUGGAAAGGAGCAGGACUUGCUAUUAUAAGAGGGUCUAUUAGCUGCGAAGAUCAUUUUUCAUGGCACAGAAUGAAUUUUCUGAAUGCCAGUGCGGAAGAUAGUGCGUAUAUUGUGAGUAGGCAUCCUCAAAGGAGCAAGCAUGUUCAGAUCAGCGAAUUCAUUUUCUUAUCCUUGGCGGGGGAGAAACCAGGCAUCGGUUCCUGUACAGCUAUUUAUGGUGAGAGAAAGAGAGAGAGAGAGCUGCUGGCGCGACUUUCAAGAUCCUGGGUUUUCAAGUCCAGCAGCAGCGUCGUCAAUGGAAGAAUAUGAUCUGACUAGUUGGUCAGCUAGAAUCGCAAUCUCCGACUUGUAUAGUUCGUCGCCGCCUAUUGGUUUGAAGAGGAUGCUAGCUAUGGAGUGUAGGGACUUCAUGUUUCCCAGUUGAUUAAAGCAUUCUUCUUCCUCUGCAUGUCGUUAUAGUGUGCAACACCUAAAAGGAAAAGGAAAAAAAAAGUUGCUCUGAAUGACAUGGCUCAUGCUAUAGACUGUUUUAGGUCGAUCACUAUAUUUAACUUUGACAAGUUGUUCUUGGCAAUUCUUUGUAACCUUAUGGUUUAGCUGAGUCAAAUUCUUGUUUGUCCGCAAUUAUUCUCAAUGGCAUGAUGGCAUGUUUGUUAAAGAUUUUA